UGAGGGGGGACAGAGCUCCCCAGGAUUCCUGGGACGAGCAGAGUGCUGGGGUACACACGGUGAGGAUGCCUGGGUCUGCUCCUGCCUGCAGUCCUUUGCCAGGGAGAAGCUCCAGAGGCACCCAGGCAAAAGGCAGCGCUACAGGAACAGCCUCUGUGUGUUGCAGCAGCCAUAUGUCAGCCAGGCAUUAUCGUCCCAGCAAAACUCUGCGCCUGUUCCCUGGGAAAUGUCCACUCAUCACGAGUCAGUGCCAUGACAGAGACCUCACACAGACAGUCCCUGAACUGCACUAUUCCCCCUUCUUGGCGGGGCAGGGGGAGAAAUGAAGGUUAUAAAGCUGGUAGCUUGCAGUACGUUUGUGGAGGUCGCUCACUACCAUCACGGGCAAAACUGACUUGGCUUGGGGAAGGUGGACUUCCCCAACCGCACUCCUGACUCUUCGACCUCCCUCCCCCAAGCAGUGCAGGGGAAUGGGGGUGACAGUCAGCUCAUAACCCUUUGUCUCUGCUGCCCCUUCUUCCCUCAGCUCUCCCCCUGCUCCAGCACGAGUUCUCUCCACAGGCCUGCUCCUGUGGUGGCUCUUCGGGGGCUGCAGCCUUCUUCAGGCAAGAGCCACGUGCUGUGCAAGUGCUCGGGGGACACAGAAGGGGUCCCCUGCAGUGCUCCCACCACCCCAACAGGGGCACAUCGCUGCCCACUGGCUUGUGCCCCGUGCAGCCAUUUCGAGCUUUUUUUUUUUUUUUUUUUUUUUGUUGCACCACAGCUUUUUUUGUCAGGUGAAUUCGGUCUUGCUGGAUUCUUGCGGUUCUUCCCUGCCGCCCGCUUCCGCUCAGCGCUGCCCUCAGCUCCGACAAGGGGACGUGACCCCCCCGGGGCCUCCGAGAGCCCCGGCGCCCAGCGCGAGGCCCCGCUGGGGGCGCUCGGGGCCGAGCCGGGCCGAGCCCUCCGAGGCAGUGCUGGGGCGCGGCGCCCUCUGGCGGCCGCGACGAAACCCAGCGGAGGCGCCGAGCGGGGCCCGUCCGGCUCCAACGCCGUGGCCACGGGCACCGGGCUCAGCCCCCGGGCCGCGCAGCUCGGUGCCCGUCCCCCGGCCCGUCCCCCUCCACGUCUCGGAGUGGGGCGCCUCCGGAGCAGGGACAUGAGCGGCAGGGCCCGGCCCCUAGCAGCGGGCUCUGUGACGAGGCAAAGGGACCUUUGCACGGGGCCCUCUGACGAGCUGCCGGGAUGUGAGGCCUCUGCUCCGCACAGCUGCAUCCAGAGCCUGCAAGGCUUCUCCUGCAGGUGUGUGGAGGAGAGCAGGGUGCUCAGGAGCCCAUGGCAGGGCUUGGCCAGCAGCCCUUCUCCUGCCAGCUUUGUCCCAGCUUUGAGCAGCAUCUGACCCCAGGAAUUCAGACUCAGACGUGGGGGGGACUGGAUUCCCAAGAGCCCUGGAGACACAAAGACUAAAUGGAAGAAGCAGCACUUCAUUUGUACAAGCAACAGGCACCACAAUAAAGGAAGUCAGACACCCCCUUAAUUCUAACAGUGCCUACUUCUGCAGCACUUGAUGUAUUCAAGAGCUUUCAGGUGAGUCAGGCAGCUGACAGCAACUGAAAACGCAGCACAGAAACCCAAGGAAGCUCAUAUACCCGUCAUACAUGAAAAAUUACUACGGUAUUUUGAGCAGAGAUUGCAGGAGGAUGGCUGCUGAAGUAUGCGACUGAUCUAAGAUUGAUCUUGCUGUUUCUGAGGACUUGUAUCCAUAGAGAGAGACUGGAUUGUGACUGCAAAGGGAGUGAUGAGCUUGGAUGUGCACAACAAGGUGGUGCAGGAUAAAUUCUCGCCAAAGCAUGCAGGCAUGCAGAGAAAAGGAAGCUGUUGGCCCUGAGCAAGGCUGAAGGUGCAGACAAGACUAAAAUCCAGAGUCUGCAUGACAGAAGCAGGGGCUUGCAGGACUUGCAGCUUGGCUGAGACUUAGAAAGCAGCUGAAGCUGUUCAUUCAUCUUGCAGUCACUGCUGCCACUUCAGGGCAACUACUGUCUUCAGAGGCAAAGGACAGAAGUCCUGCAACAGCUGCCAGAAGUAGUAUGUCAAGGAAUAUACUGGAAAGCUGCUCAGUGAGGGUAAAGACUGGAGCCACUGAGCACAGCAGCGCUGAUGGAGCCAACCAGACUCACUUAGUGCCAAGAACACAGGCCAAGAGCAGGCAGGAGGUGAUUAAGAUAUGCCACUGCACCACCUGCUGCCCCAUGCACUGUAAGCGUCACACCAGUGCCCUGCUGCCUGUGUGUGCCCAUGCCAGCACGGACAUCCUGGGGAGGAGCAGUGCAGAGAAAGGCACACAGGACUGCAGUCACAAGUGGAUCCAGCCAAUGAGCUGCGGGUUCCCACUCCCCAUGCUAGGAGAGCAGAGAGAAUUUGAACAGAGAUUACACCAAACAGUUGUCUCCAUGCCAACAGUCAUUAAAAAGUUGUACUUGAAAAGCUAAUACUGUCUACUGUCUCACAUGCCCAAGCGACAGGAGGAUGUUUUGCCAUCCUCUUUUAUGAUAGCAAGAUUCCUGUCUUAACACUGCCUUUGGGGCAAGAGUCCAGCCCAGCCCGGCAGGAGUGGGGGAGUUCAGCAACAACAGAGAGGAGGUAAGGAGGGGAGAGAAUCUGUGCUAAGACUUGCAGAGGUUGAGGGAAGGUUUAUGUGAUUAUCUGUUGCGCCAGACAUGAGAAGAGCUAUGCCCCUGAGGGAUCCCUCCCCAGGUUGCUGUUUUGCCUAGCCAAUGCUGGUAGGGCAUCCCAGAUCCACAUCACCUGGCUGUUCUGCACACCUUGCACUGUCUCAGUGUUUCUGCACAAUCUACGCUAGGCAAGGCAAGGAACCACAGGAAGGCGCUGAUGGCAGAGGCUGGUGUCAUGGUGAGAGCAGCUCAGCGCUGCUCUCACAGGGUGGAAGUGCUUCAGUGGUGCAAAAGAAGGGGUCAGAGCGGCUUUUCUGCUAAUAAUCAGGGCAAGGGUUGGUAGCUGGGAGAAAAGACAAAGCAGAGCCAAACCUUCAUAGAAUCACAGAAUGGUUUGGGUUGGAAGGGACCUUAAAGACCAUUCCAGUACCAAUCCCCUGCCAUGGGCAGGGACACCUCCCACUAGGCCAGGUUGCCCAAAGCCCUGUCCAGCCUGGUCUUGAGCACUUCCAGGGAUGGGGCAUCCACAGCUUCUAUGAGCAACCUGUUGCGGUGCCUCACCACCCUCAGAGUAAAGAUUUUUUUCCUUACGUGUAAUCUAAAUCUUCCCUCUUUUAGUUUAAAGCCACUACUCAUUCCAGAAAGGAAUAAACACAGGUAUCUAUGUACAUGGUACCGGAGAAGAGAAAGGAUGGAGGAGAGGUGACCAAGGAACGUGGAGGGAAUCCAGCCCUUGCAGGUACAGUUAAGGUGGAAAAUGUUGUGAACAGAACUAGAGAGAAUCCAGCAAGCCAGACUCAGUGUGCUUCCAGCAGCAGCAAGAAAAAUGGCCAUUCACUUUUGUCAACAGCUUGCCUGAUCUCUCAGACUCACAAUGCCGUCUUCAGAGCCAUGAGAGAGCACCACAGUGCUCACAAGAUUUACAGCAGAGAGAACAAUGUAUCACAGACUCAUUGGCAACCUGGGAUGGGAACACCCCAGAGAAACAAUAACCACUGAGUAGGAAAGGCAGGCUCCCUCCUCCGCACACCUCCACCAGCAGCCUCACAACAGGCUUUGCUCAGCUCAUCCACAAGCUGACACUGUCAAUUGCUGUGCACCAGAAAAUUCACAAGAGAAAAAAAAAUCUGUGAGGGAUGAUCGACAGCCUCCAUCAUCUCCAUCUUCAUUUAAAGAAUAGGUUGGACAAACAUCUCAGGCUGAUGUUAAGUUAAGGUGAUCUUGCCUGCACUAGAUCUCAGUGUCCACCUUGACCUUUCUGGCUUUCUAAGGUCAGAGCGGAUCAUAAAAAUCCACCUUUCCUACCUGCCCAAAAGGCUGAUCCUCACAUUCUCAAAGACCUGGAAAAUAUAAAAGAACACAAAUAAAAGUUUCUCUUUCACAUACUACAGACAUCCUCACAACUGUUUUGGAAGUCAUUUUUUUUUUCAACGUUUAAGAAAUUGUGAAUGAAUUAUAGGACUGAUACAAUCACAGACUUUCUGAUUUUCUGUGUUACUUUAGAACAAGAUCUUGACGGAUGAGAGAAACGGAAGUACCUGUGGUCUACACAGCACUAGGGUUCACUUUAAAAAACUGCUUGAAACAAAGCAGUAAAAGAAAUUCAUUCCAACUCAAGCAAUGAUUUCGAUACAGGAAAAUGAGUAUACAUUUAUUUUUGAUUAAUCUAAUGAAGUGUGAUUUUGUACUCUUUUGUACUCUCACCUGCACUCUUGUAUUGAAAUGUUGAUAUUGACUUUAGAGAAUACAGGCUGUACCUUAAGAAGACAAGCAUAAUAAAAAGGUAACUGGGGGUGGAAGGCAGAGCAGCCCACUCCUUCACCUCACUGCCAGGAGAGGGCUUGCAGCAAGCUUUCAUCUGAUACCUUAAGCCCCUGGCUAAAAUGAAAACAUACCGAGACAACAAGCAACAUGCAGUCAUUUAAUAAAGAUCACAUAAGCCCCACAGUGCAGAUAAAAAAUACUUCUCCCUCCCCACGUACCAUGCAAUGACAAGACAAAUCCCUGUAGGAUGUGUCUGCUGCAGCUUCUUCUUCCCCAAAGCCGGCGACAGCCCUUCACAUGCCAACCCACUGUCCUUCCCAAACGCACCUCUGAGGUGCACAUCCCCUGCCUGCCAGCACAUUCCCCUCCCUGCUGCAGUGCUCCUUGUUACUACUGGGCUUCCAGCUGAACAGGGCGGGAAGGCGAGCAGCACAGCCCACCCCCCAAGCCACACCAGAAGACUUCGGUAGCCCCUGGUCCACCACAAGCGGUUGGUCAGGGCUGAGACAAAGGGGUGUUUGAGGUUUGCUAGCAAGGCUGUAGUUUGAAGUUAUGAGUCUUCCUCAGUUGAGUGAAACCCCUUUCUGGGGUCCGACUUUUGUGCAAAGUUGUUCCUCCAGUCACGCAAAUGACUAAUUUCUACGUGUGCCUUUUCUGUUCUAUUUACACUGCAAUUUUGGGUUUUCUAAGGGCUGCUGAUGUGCAUCCUGCAAGCUCUGCCAGCUGCUGGCAGCCUUUUCUUCCACCGAGCCAACAUUUCUUCAAUUACCCUUUUUUUGCGUAGUUUAUUUAAUGAAAAGCCUGGUAGACCCCCAGGGACUCUCAGCUGGCUCCUGCCCCCACGCAGACCACAUCACUGCUAAGGCUGCAGGAUUCAGCCUCCAACAGGUGCCCACGAGGAAGUUUGGCUGGUGCUGAACAUUACAGCUCUAAUCUGUCCUGUAGGCAGAAGACAUUGAUGCUCAAGAGAAACCAACUGCAGCAGAUGUGACCAGAUCUGGGGACCGCUGGCCACGCACCACAGACAGCACAGACCUGUCUCACUGCUGGACACAGAGGUCACCUGCAGAGACCACAGCAUUGCUCAGCCUGCGUCAGCUGCUCCGCCUGCCCUCCAGCCUCUGUCUUCAGUCCACAGCAUCCUGCAGCCUGCCAGGCUCCCCUGCCACGAGUGCCUGGGGCAGUCCCACUAACCGUGCUGUUCUGUUGCCCCAAGCUCUUGUGUGCCCACAACUUCUGUCCCUUCCCCUCUCUUCUCCUGUUGAGUUUCAACUCAAUGUCACUGCAGAGGUGCCCCUCCAUUGAAAACUCUAGGGAGACUCCUCUGGGAAAACCUUCACCAUUGGAGGAAAAACACUGACCUCCCCUUCUUCCCAUCUAUCCCCAUUUACUAUCUGUUAUUUAAUCCGUGCACACCUGGUGUAUGCACAACCCCCAUUCCAACUGGCCAGGCAUCUCGGCAAACUCAGAGAACAAACCCUGCACCAGGUGUCAGUUUUGUUUAAAAGAUCAGUGAUAUUUUCAUACAGAUACAUGUAUAUGGAAAUUAUAUAAUUUCAUUUAUAAAAGGGCAUAUUCAAAGAAGACUUGCUGAAGGCUUUUUUACAAGCAUCAGUCAGUUUGUUCUGUCAGGCCAAGGAGGCUGCAAGUAUGAAGGUGAAACACUGCUAACUAUGUGUUGCUUCCGAAGAAUAUUUCUUUGGUUAUAACUGAUUUUUAUUAUUAAAUUUUGCUCUCGAGUUUCUGUAAAAUUUUAUACUAGUCAGAGUUUUAACUAUCAAAACUAGUAUCAUUAUGUAAACCUUACUGUAUCUCUGUGUAACCUUAACAUUCAACCCACCAAAUCCUGCCAUAUAAACACUCUGAGCAACAAGCACAAGAUGGGGAAGUGGUCACCCAAUUAGAAGAGCCCAUUCUCUCAGGAUCAGCCUUCAGCAUCAUCUCACUCAAAUAAGUGUUUUAUUACUUAACUGCUAACAUGCAUAUUCUCUUACCUUGUAACUCAAUCCUGAAACAUGCUUCAGAUACAUGAGAUUCAGCUAUUAGUGAUAAGCACAAUAGAAACACCCUAAAGGAAAUUAAGUAUUGCUUACAAACAUGCAAUGAACAUGCAGUAAACAUACAGAGUCAUGAAGUGAACUGUGAUUAAAAAAAUAAAUAAAAGAAGGUGAGCGGCUACAAAUUCCUUGAACACUUUUCAUCCUGGGCACUGAGUGAAUCAAUCUCUGUGAAAUGUGACCAUAUCAUUAAAGACUGUGAUAGCGCAUACACCCAGACAAGCCUUGAUUCUGCUAUUACAGAACUGGGUGUUUGCCUUCACAACUAUAAUGCCUUAUCUGCCACAUCACACCAAAAAGCGUAAAUGGAGAUCUGACUCAUGCACAAGACCCAUCAGCCAGCUCUAGGCCAAGGACACUGCUCUGCUUAAUAGGCCAAGCUAUGUAAUACAUUCUGGCAGUUUCUUCCAUGAAAAAGCAGGGGUAGCAGGCGAGGUAGAUGAGCAAAAGUCCUCUUUUGUAAGUGAAAUUACCAGGUACAUUUCAAGUUGCCAGACGAUUCUGCCAGGAAUUAUGACAAAAACCAAAGACGAACAAACCGGGGAGUUUGGUUUUCCUAGUGAAGGCUGAUACAAGAUCAAAAUGGAAAGCAUGAGGUGAGGAUACCAACGGAGCAUGAGGAAGGAGUGGGAUGUUCUAACAGUCACACACAUGGCUGCAACCAUGAGUCUCACAUCCCCUGCUAGUGAGGAACAUGCAGAGGAAAGCCAGUUCCUAUUUCUUAUUCUGCCUGUGAAUUCUACCUUUACAGAUACAUCCAUGAUCUCAGCCUGAGAUUUUUCUUCCUAUCCCUUCUGUCAGGAGCAGAGUAGAAGAACAUGUGGAGAUGUGACUCGUGUACAAAUCUAUGCAGCACUGUCAGUCUGCAGGUAGCUUCGCUCCCAUGGAUUUAAGAGAGGAACAAAAAUAGGGGAAUGAAAUAGGCUGAGAAAAGAACAGGAGAAGAACCUGGG